GACGAACGCUGGCGGCGCGCCUAACACAUGCAAGUCGAACGGAGCUGAGAGAAGCUUGCUUUUCUUAGCUUAGUGGCGAACGGGUGAGUAACGCGUGAGUAACCUGCCCUGGAGUGGGGGACAACAGUUGGAAACGACUGCUAAUACCGCAUAAGCCCACGAUCCGGCAUCGGAUUGAGGGAAAAGGAUUUAUUCGCUUCAGGAUGGACUCGCGUCCAAUUAGCUAGUUGGUGAGGUGACGGCCCACCAAGGCGACGAUUGGUAGCCGGACUGAGAGGUUGAACGGCCACAUUGGGACUGAGACACGGCCCAGACUCCUACGGGAGGCAGCAGUGGGGGAUAUUGCACAAUGGGGGAAACCCUGAUGCAGCGACGCCGCGUGGAGGAAGAAGGUUUUCGGAUUGUAAACUCCUGUCGUUAGGGACGAUAAUGACGGUACCUAACAAGAAAGCACCGGCUAACUACGUGCCAGCAGCCGCGGUAAAACGUAGGGUGCAAGCGUUGUCCGGAAUUACUGGGUGUAAAGGGAGCGCAGGCGGACCGGCAAGUUGGAAGUGAAAACUAUGGGCUCAACCCAUAAAUUGCUUUCAAAACUGCUGGCCUUGAGUAGUGCAGAGGUAGGUGGAAUUCCCGGUGUAGCGGUGGAAUGCGUAGAUAUCGGGAGGAACACCAGUGGCGAAGGCGACCUACUGGGCACCAACUGACGCUGAGGCUCGAAAGCAUGGGUAGCAAACAGGAUUAGAUACCCUGGUAGUCCAUGCCGUAAGCGAUGAUUACUAGGUGUUGGGGGAUUGACCCCCUCAGUGCCGCAGUUAACACAAUAAGUAAUCCACCUGGGGAGUACGACCGCAAGGUUGAAACUCAAAGGAAUUGACGGGGGCCCGCACAAGCAGUGGAGUAUGUGGUUUAAUUCGAAGCAACGCGAAGAACCUUACCAGGUCUUGACAUCCGAUGCAUAGCACAGAGAUGUGUGAAAUCCUUCGGGACAUCGAGACAGGUGGUGCAUGGUUGUCGUCAGCUCGUGUCGUGAGAUGUUGGGUUAAGUCCCGCAACGAGCGCAACCCUUAUUGCCAGUUACUACGUUAAGAGGACUCUGGCGAGACUGCCGUUGACAAAACGGAGGAAGGUGGGGAUGACGUCAAAUCAUCAUGCCCUUUAUGACCUGGGCUACACACGUACUACAAUGGCGUUAAACAAAGAGAAGCAAGACCGCGAGGUGGAGCAAAACUCAAAAACAACGUCUCAGUUCAGAUUGCAGGCUGCAACUCGCCUGCAUGAAGUCGGAAUUGCUAGUAAUCGCGGAUCAGCAUGCCGCGGUGAAUACGUUCCCGGGCCUU
rnacentral:rRNA from 1 species